UGGGGAAUAUUGGACAAUGGGGGCAACCCUGAUCCAGCAAUGCCGCGUGUGUGAAGAAGGCCUUCGGGUUGUAAAGCACUUUGGGCGGGGAAGAAGUUAAUCUGUUUAAGAGAUGGGUUAAUUGACGGUACCCGCAGAACAAGCACCGGCUAACUCUGUGCCAGCAGCCGCGGUAAUACAGAGGGUGCGAGCGUUAAUCGGAAUUACUGGGCGUAAAGGGCGCGUAGGCGGUACAUCAAGUGUGAUGUGAAAUCCCUGGGCUUAACCUGGGAAUGGCAUCACGGACUGGUGUACUGGAGUACUGUAGAGGGCAGUGGAAUUUCCGGUGUAGCGGUGAAAUGCGUAGAGAUCGGAAGGAACACCAGUGGCGAAGGCGACUGUCUGGACAGAUACUGACGCUGAGGCGCGAAAGCGUGGGGAGCAAACAGG
rnacentral:rRNA from 1 species